AAUGUUAUUAUUUUGUGUUCUCACUAAACACCCACAUUUGUAUUUGUGUGGGAAAUGUUUGUAGGCUAUGGUUGCUGUUUGUAUUUCAUUGAACUUUAGGCCCAUACAAAGACAAAUCACACAACAUAGAAUUCAAAACAACCUUAGGCAAAAAUACACGAAAUAAAAGUCAAGUGAAAAUAGUUAUAAAUGACUUUAUCAAUUAUGAGUAGCUAAACAUUAUCGACUUUUGGACACUGGUGCGCAGGAGAACCCCUAGCUGUCAAUCAAGCAGGCGCGGUGAACGGAUUAUGACGCUCAAGCGUUCCAAAUGACGCAACAAUACAGCUCCAGACCAGAGAAAGUUAAUGCCGAGGAUAUUAUUCGGUUCAACACUAAAACUGAGGUUUGACACGUGUGAUUUGAGGUGAGUCAAAUAUUUACAAAAGUUUACAAUACAUUAACCAUCCGCUUCGUUAUUUCUGUUGCUAUCAAUCACUCCAUCUGUAUCUACUCUUCUUUCUGUCUGUCGGACUAUCUGAAUUGUCUGUGUACUGUCUAGCCACCAUAUGCCAGAAAGGUUCUUUCACAAAGGCUCAUAUUCACAAAGUCUCAUAGAAGGAGUGCUGAUCAAUAAUCAGUUUGGUCUUUUAAAUUAAACUGAAUACAUUUUGAUGGACAGGAGGCGACCUGAUCCUAGAUCAGCACUCCUACCCUGAAACACUUUGUGAACACAAUCCAGGUGUACUGUGAUGAGAUAUUAUUAUAUUAGUUGUGCUGAUGCAUGAUGGGUUGUAGGCUAGAGCUUGAGGACUCAACUCUGAAGACUGUUUCUGAAUUCACUGACCUGGUGAGUAAAUGUUGUGUACAAUGGCACCAUCUAGUGACAGAAACAUAGAAACACACAUUGUUGCUGAACGAAGGCAUCUCUUUAUUUUCCAGAAAUAAAACGUGUAGACCUUUCCUGCAGUCUCUGAGGAGAUGGACACCUCUUCUUCUUCUGGACGAUCUCCGUCUCCUACUGGGACUGUCUUCUUACCCCCUCCUAUCAUGUGGAACAGUCUCUACAAGCAGGCAGAGAUGGAGGUUCACUUCCCGAGAGAAGAGAAGAAGACCUGUACAGAGAAGGAAGCCCACAUGCUUGAGUUGAUGGGGAAGGAUCGAACGAUCCGAAAUCAGAAGAAGGAGAUGGGCAGACUCCAAGUGUGCCUCUGGGAGGAGGAAAAGAAGAAGAGGAAUGGUGAAACAGAGAAGGACAAGAUCAUUGAACAAUUACAGUCUGAGACAGACCAUCUCCGAGCCCUUUUAAAAGAUGAAAGGAGGAGAAGAAGAGUAGAAAGGGGUAUCAUGAAAGAGUGGAAGGCUGAGAUCCUGAGACUGAGGGAGGCAGAGAGCCAGAGGGAGGCAGAGAGUCAGAGGGAGUCAGAGAGCCAGAGGGAGGCAGAGAGCCAGAGAGAUUCAGAAAGACAGAGAGAAGCAGAGAGACAGAGAGAAGCAGAGAGACAGAGAGAAGCAGAGAGACAGAGAGAAGCAGAGAGACAGAGGGAGGCAGAGAGACAGAAGGAAGCAGAGAGACAGAGGGAGGCAGAGAGACAGAGAGAAGCAGAGAGACAGAGGGAAGCAGAGAGACAGAGGGAAG
rnacentral:lncRNA from 13 species